rnacentral:rRNA from 1 species
UACGUAGGGGGCAAGCGUUGUCCGGAUUUAUUGGGCGUAAAGAGCUCGUAGGCGGUUCAGUAAGUCGGGUGUGAAAACUCAGGGCUCAACCCUGAGCGGCCACCCGAUACUGCUGUGACUUGAGUCCGGUAGGGGAGUGGGGAAUUCCUGGUGUAGCGGUGAAAUGCGCAGAUAUCAGGAGGAACACCGGUGGCGAAGGCGCCACUCUGGGCCGAGACUGACGCUGAGGAGCGAAAGCGUGGGUAGCAAACAGG